rnacentral:rRNA from 1 species
GUGCCAGCAGCCGCGGUAAUACGGAGGGUGCAAGCGUUAAUCGGAAUUACUGGGCGUAAAGGGUGCGUAGGCGGUUGUUUAAGUCUGUUGUGAAAUCCCCGGGCUCAACCUGGGAAUGGCAAUGGAUACUGGGCAGCUAGAGUGUGUCAGAGGAUGGUGGAAUUCCCGGUGUAGCGGUGAAAUGCGUAGAGAUCGGGAGGAACAUCAGUGGCGAAGGCGGCCAUCUGGGACAACACUGACGCUGAAGCACGAAAGCGUGGGGAGCAAACAGGAUUAGAUACCCUCGUAGUCC